rnacentral:rRNA from 1 species
UGAAGCAUAGUAUAAUAUAAUAUAACUCGCUUACACUGAGUUGAUGGUUAAGCUAUAACCUGCUUCAAUUUUUAUCUAUAUUUCAUUUUAAAGUUUCUUACAUCCUAAUCAUUAAACCAUUUUUUUUUUAAGUAAUGUUGAAUGAACAGUUACGCACAUUUAAAGUACCGAGAGGGAAAUAAAAAUAAUUACUAUAGUAGAGAUAAUACCUCGUACCUUUUGCAUCAUGGGAGACCAAGAAUUUUUUUAAAAUCAAACUACCCGAACUUUAAGUGAGCUAUCCUGUAAAAAAGACCUAAUGUCGCAAAAUUAUUGUUAACUACAUAAUAGAUGCUAUAUACUUACCGCACUGAAAGAUAGCUGGUUACUCAGAAAAGAUAUAAAAGUAUCUUCCUUUAUGAUAAAGGAAACACUAACAAAAGGAUAAGCUUUUGUUAGCAACCUUCAAUGGCUCAAGAAUACUAGGUUUUUAAAAGUAGGAAUAAAAUUUUCCACCACCAAUUUUGUUAUAAAAUAUAAAGCAAUAACUAGAAAAUAAAUAUUCAUUACCUUGAUUACCACUGAGUUAUGUAGAUUAACUAUCUUCACCACUACAAAACUGAUGUUUUCACAAGUAUUUUAUACAACUAAUUAACUUUUUUUUAAAAUAAAAAUCCAUAUAAAUUUAACUAAUCAAAUGUAUAUAAGGAACUCGGCAAACUUACUACCCCGCCUGUUUAUCAAAAACAUGUCUCUUAGAAAUCAUUAAGAGUCCGGCCUGCCCAGUGAUUACUUUAACGGCCGCGGUACCCUGACCGUGCAAAGGUAGCAUAAUCAUUUGCCUUUUAAUUGGAGGCUAGUAUGAAUGGUCUAACGAGAGUAAAACUGUCUCAUAUAUAUUUAACAGAAACUAAUCUAAAGGUGCAAAAGCCUUUAUCUAUUAAAAAGACGAGAAGACCCUGUUGAGCUUUAAUCUUAAUAAACAUCUUUUAUAUAUUCAUAAAUUUGCCCUGUUUACUAAAGAUUUUAAUUGGGGCGAUUAAGGAACAAUCAUUAGCUUCCUGAACCCACUCACAAAUACCUAUAAAUUAAAUCGAUCCAGCAGUGCUGAUCAACAAAACGAGUUACCACAGGGAUAACAGCAUAAUUCUUCUUAAGAGCUCAUAUCGAAAGAAGAGAUUGUGACCUCGAUGUUGGACUAGGGUAACUGAAAGGUGUAGCCGCUUUUUUGUUUGGUCUGUUCGACCAGUAAUUCCCUACGUGAUCUGAGUUCAAAACGG